rnacentral:tRNA from 1 species
GCACACUUAGCCAAGUGGUAAGAGCUUCAAUUUUGAAAUUUGAGAUUGCAGCUUCAAUUCCUGCAGUGCACA